CUAUUUCCAGUUACCCCCUCGAAUUUCCAAACCCUAAUUUUAUCUCAUUCGUUUGCGACACGAGACAGAGAGACAUUAGAGAUGGAGAGAAGAGAGAAGAGAGGAGACGGAGAGAAGAGAUGACAAAAGAAGAUGAAGAGUCGACGGCGGGAAGAAGCUAGACAGAGCUUGGAGAUGACAGAGGAAGAAGAAGCAACGAGCUUCACGGAGAAGGAUUCAACCUCCAAUUUCUUUCCCCCUCUUCACAAUGUGUCUCUUUCCCUCUGUCAGGUCUUGCUCAUGUGUAAUUGGUGGCGGUAGAGGAGAGGAACCGAAAGUUAAAGAAGAAGAGACCUUUUGUGAAGCUCAAAAGCCACAAGAUAAGGGUGGUGGAUUUCUAACGCCGUAGCGAGAAUUCUGGGUUAUUUGAUAUUUGUCAGCGAAUUUGAAAGCGGAUCUGAGAGAAGCAGAGAUAAGCUCGUUAAAGUGUUGGCAGCCUAUCGGAACCAGAUGCUUAAAUACAAGGAGAAUACAGUGAGCCCAACAAUUAUCUCCCAGCACUUUAUCUAUCUUAUGUUGUAAGAGCAAUCGACACAAUGACUGGAAUGCCAUGGGAACUCCCGAUUUCAGUCCUGGGUAUAUUCUGUAUGUUCCAUUGCUAGAUAUUUACCCACUACAUAACCAAAGGGGAUCACUUGACCUACAAUUACCUGUUUUUCAGAUUAUGGGCAGAACAGCCACCUCGUCCGUCUCAGCUGCCUCACAUCUAGACAACUCCAACUGAAGCGGCAGCUACACAUGCCUUGAACGACCUUUCCCUAUCCCAGAACCAACAGUCAUGUUUUCAGUUUUAACUUUGGAUGUCUUAUUCUUCUUUUCCUUGUUUAUCUCUUUUGUGUAAGUUGUAUUAUCCAUGACGAUUUUAUUAUGUUUAAAGAUUUAAGUUUUCUGUUA